rnacentral:rRNA from 1 species
CCUACGGGAGGCAGCAGUGGGGAAUUUUGGACAAUGGGCGCAAGCCUGAUCCAGCAAUGCCGCGUGAGUGAAGAAGGCCUUCGGGUUGUAAAGCUCUUUUGUCAGGGAAGAAAAGGUAGCCUCUAAUACAGGCUGCUCAUGACGGUACCUGAAGAAUAAGCACCGGCUAACUACGUGCCAGCAGCCGCGGUAAUACGUAGGGUGCAAGCGUUAAUCGGAAUUACUGGGCGUAAAGCGUGCGCAGGCGGUUAUAUAAGUCAGCUGUGAAAUCCCCGGGCUCAACCUGGGAACUGCAGUUGAGACUGUAUGGCUAGAGUGUGUCAGAGGGGGGUAGAAUUCCACGUGUAGCAGUGAAAUGCGUAGAUAUGUGGAGGAAUACCGAUGGCGAAGGCAGCCCCCUGGGAUAACACUGACGCUCAUGCACGAAGACGGUGGGGAGGACGAAACGAAGGAGUUAAGUAAUACCCGUACGGUACGUACCGACCGACCCGUAAACCGUAACUAGUCUACUUAGUUAGGUUUGGGUUCGUUAAUUAGUACGUUA